GGUGCUGGUUAGCAAGCAAUAAUACCGAGGUUUGCUCUGUGUUAGCUCAACUCUAUCCGGUGUUGGUUGUCUUUAUGUGAAGCAACAGAGGAUUUAAUGGAUGUAUGCAAUAGAAUGCAGCAAGAACCAGAGAUUUCCUCGAGAUUAUAGUUGAUGCUGGCCCAGAUACCCAACUCUCAGAUAAUGAGAUCGCAACUCUCUUGUCGAUCUCAGGUGAUGCCGCGAUGGUGCCAUUUGCACGAACCAGAAAUUUCUGAUUCACCUUAAAUUGUUACAUUGCAUCCAGAAACUGAUCUGUAGAUUUCCUUUCUUAGAGCUUGAUC